AGUGAACGCUGGCGGUAGGCCUAACACAUGCAAGUCGAACGGCAGCACAGUAAGAGCUUGCUCUUACGGGUGGCGAGUGGCGGACGGGUGAGGAAUACAUCGGAAUCUACUUUUUCGUGGGGGAUAACGUAGGGAAACUUACGCUAAUACCGCAUACGACCUACGGGUGAAAGCAGGGGAUCUUCGGACCUUGCGCGAUUGAAUGAGCCGAUGUCGGAUUAGCUAGUUGGCGGGGUAAGGCCCACCAAGGCGACGAUCCGUAGCUGGUCUGAGAGGAUGAUCGGCCACACUGGAACUGAGACACGGUCCAGACUCCUACGGGAGGCGGCAGUGGGGAAUAUUGGACAAUGGGCGCAAGCCUGAUCCAGCCAUACCGCGUGGGUGAAGAAGGCCUUCGGGUUGUAAAGCCCUUUUGUUGGGAAAGAAAAGCAGCAGGUUAAUACCCCGCUGUUCUGACGGUACCCAAAGAAUAAGCACCGGCUAACUUCGUG
rnacentral:rRNA from 1 species